rnacentral:rRNA from 1 species
UACGUAGGGACCAAGCGUUGUUCGGAAUUACUGGGCAUAAAGGGCGCGUAGGCGGUCAGGUCAGUCCCGUGUGAAAUCCCUCGGCUCAACUGAGGAACUGCACGGGAAACUGCCUGGCUUGAGUUCGGGAGAGGGAAGCGGAAUUCCGGGUGUAGCGGUGAAAUGCGUAGAUACUGGGAGGAACACCAGUGGCGAAGGCGGCUACCUGGACCGGUUCUGACGCUGAGGCGCGAAAGCGUGGGUAGCAAACAGG